AUAUCUCUCUGUACGGGAAGGAUGAGAAGCUUCGACUAAGGUUCGAUUCGAGCGCAGCGAGAAAGCGUUGCCGUAGGCAACGACCCGAAGGGC
rnacentral:sRNA from 1 species